CAGCCGCCGCGGUAUACGAAGGGUGCAAGCGUUAAUCGGAAUUACUGGGCGUAAAGCGUGCGUAGGCGGUGAGUUAAGUCUGCUGUGAAAUCCCCGGGCUCAACCUGGGAAUGGCAGUGGAUACUGGCUCGCUAGAGUGUGUCAGAGGAUGGUGGAAUUCCCGGUGUAGCGGUGAAAUGCGUAGAGAUCGGGAGGAACAUCAGUGGCGAAGGCGGCCAUCUGGGACAACACUGACGCUGAGGCACGAAAGCGUGGGGAGCAAACAGGAUUAGAUACCCCCGUAGUCCCUGUCUCUUAUACA
rnacentral:rRNA from 1 species